rnacentral:rRNA from 1 species
AACGAACGCUGGCGGCAGACUUAACACAUGCAAGUCGAACGCAUCCUUCGGGGUGAGUGGCAGACGGGUGAGUAACGCGUGGGAACGUGCCCUUCAGUUCGGGAUAACCCAGGGAAACCUGGGCUAAUACCGGAUACGUGCGAGAGCAGAAAGAUUUAUCGCUGAAGGAUCGGCCCGCGUCUGAUUAGCUAGUUGGUGGGGUAAUGGCCCACCAAGGCGACGAUCAGUAGCUGGUCUGAGAGGAUGAUCAGCCACAUUGGGACUCAGACACGGCCCAAACUCCUACGGGAGGCAGCAGUGGGGAAUAUUGGACAAUGGGCGCAAGCCUGAUCCAGCCAUGCCGCGUGAGUGAUGAAGGCCUUAGGGUUGUAAAGCUCUUUCGUCCGGGACGAUAAUGACGGUACCGGAAGAAGAAGCCCCGGCUAACUUCGUGCCAGCAGCCGCAGUAA